UACGUAGGGGGCAAGCGUUGUCCGGAAUUAUUGGGCGUAAAGCGCGCGCAGGCGGCUCUUUAAGUCUGGUGUUUAAUCCCGAGGCUCAACUUCGGGUCGCACUGGAAACUGGGGAGCUUGAGUGCAGAAGAGGAGAGUGGAAUUCCACGUGUAGCGGUGGAAUGCGUAGAGAUGUGGAGGAACACCAGUGGCGAAGGCGACUCUCUGGGCUGUAACUGACGCUGAGGCGCGAAAGCGUGGGGAGCAAACAGG
rnacentral:rRNA from 1 species